AGCAGUCGCCGCGGUAAUACCGAGGGUGCGAGCGUUAAUCGGAUUUACUGGGCGUAAAGCGUGCGUAGGCGGCUUUUUAAGUCGGAUGUGAAAUCCCUGAGCUUAACUUAGGAAUUGCAUUCGAUACUGGGAAGCUAGAGUAUGGGAGAGGAUGGUAGAAUUCCAGGUGUAGCGGUGAAAUGCGUAGAGAUCUGGAGGAAUACCGAUGGCGAAGGCAGCCAUCUGGCCUAAUACUGACGCUGAGGUACGAAAGCAUGGGGAGCAAACAGGAUUAGAUACCCCUGUAGUCCCUGUCUCUUAUAC
rnacentral:rRNA from 1 species